GCCAAACUGAGCGUGAAGAAAUGAACACAAGUCAUUGGCGACCUGAUUCAUCGAGAGCUCUGCAUAUUCACAGAAUCCCCAAGGCUGAGAGAGUUUUGCCUAUACCACCCCAAAACAUCAACAACUGGCAUGGAAAUCUGCAACAUCACCGAGAGGCAGUCCCACUGAGUCCAUUCUGAGUGUUUGUUUCCCCUGAGUCUGCAACCGGACGUAAUGUCACAUGCAACAAAGCAUGGAUGUGGUGAAGCAAGAGGUGCCAACCGCCUAUUCACACAUUCUGAAGAUGUCCAAGAUCCACUCACCCCGCCCACCAGCUCAAAGUGACCGUCGUCAUUGGCAAUGAGCUGUCCGUUGAAGGCCCAAGAGAAAGAAACAUCGAGGACAGGAUCGCUGGCGACCUGACAGGGCAACACGAUGCUCUCACCCACGAUGAUUUCC